CAUAUAAUUAUUUUCCUGAACUCAUCUCUUGUCUGUAGUCUCAGUGCUAAGUGAGGGUUGACCCUGGCUUCCCUUCCUCACCUCUUCCCUGUGUAAUUAUCUUGCCAGUUAAAGAGCAAAGGGUGGACCACCGAGCCAGAGGUUCUUCUGAAUUACAGCUAAUCGCACCGAAGAGGAGCGCCGCUCAGCCUUGACCUCAUGGCUCUGCACACACAAGCCUUUCUCCACCAGGCCACUGUUCAGAGCAUCGCUGUGCCUAAUCAGACGUGUCACACCUCCACUGAGCAAACAUGGGCAUGGGGCCUGAGGUGUGGACCCGCUGACGUAUGCAGGGCCCUUGAGAGCCUUCCUCCUUGUCCUGGACCUGUUGGGAGAGCCCUGAGCAGCAGAGCCUGCUGGUGGUGUUUCCAGGCAAAUGGGCCCUUGGGAGACUUGAAUGUUGUCAUCUGGUAAAUAUGGGGUCAGAGCAGAUCCAUCCCUCACAGACAUCAGGUGAACAUCUCUUCAUUCUCCAGGUAAAUUUACCAAAGAGCUCUGCAUGUGGCUUUGGGUACAAGCUCAACUAUUAAUAAAAU
rnacentral:lncRNA from 12 species